AGGUUUGGUUGCUCUGAAGUAAGACGGGCCUUAUGAACUGGAUGAAGCAUCCUCUCCCACCAGCCUGACGGAAAAGGAGAAAGCCUCCCUCCUAGAACACGAAGGACCUUGGUUUGGGGGCAUGUUUGAUGCUGUUCCCUGAACUCCUUUUCAAGCAUGUGCGCAAAAGGAAGGAAAACAAAAUGGCAGCUGGCCCAGCACUGCGACCCACUCAGCAAGACAGCCGCUGGUUUACACCAUCCCUGAUAGAUGUCUGUCUAACCUGCUCUUAGAUAUCUCCAGGGAUAGAGACCCCACAACCGCCCUAGGCAACUCAUUCCAGUG